AGGUUACUGCUAUCGGUGUUCGCUUUAGCCAUGCGAGUCAUAUGUUCCUCGUGAACAUGGCGUACUGCUCAGUAACACGUGGAUAACCUGCCCUUGGGUCCGGCAUAACCCCGGGAAACUGGGGAUAAUUCCGGAUAACGCACAUAUGCUGGAAUGCUUUAUGCGUCAAAUGGAUUCGUCCGCCCAAGGAUGGGUCUGCGGCCUAUCAGGUAGUAGUGGGUGUAAUGUACCUACUAGCCUACGACGGGUACGGGUUGUGAGAGCAAGAGCCCGGAGAUGGAUUCUGAGACAUGAAUCCAGGCCCUACGGGGCGCAGCAGGCGCGAAAACUUUACAAUGCGGGAAACCGUGAUAAGGGGACACCGAGUGCCAGCAUCAUAUGCUGGCUGUCCGGGUGUGUAAAAUACACCUGUUAGCAAGGGCCGGGCAAGACCGGUGCCAGCCGCCGCGGUAACACCGGCGGCCCGAGUGGUGAUCGUGAUUAUUGGGUCUAAAGGGUCCGUAGCCGGUUUGGUCAGUCCUCCGGGAAAUCUGACGGCUUAACCGUUAGGCUUUCGGGGGAUACUGCCAGACUUGGAACCGGGAGAGGUAAGAGGUACUACAGGGGUAGGAGUGAAAUCUUGUAAUCCCUGUGGGACCACCUGUGGCGAAGGCGUCUUACCAGAACGGGUUCGACGGUGAGGGACGAAAGCUGGGGGCACGAACCGGAUUAGAUACCCGGGUAGUCCCAGCCGUAAACGAUGCUCGCUAGGUGUCGGGCAUGGCGCGACCGUGUCUGGUGCCGCAGGGAAGCCGUGAAGCGAGCCACCUGGGAAGUACGGCCGCAAGGCUGAAACUUAA
rnacentral:rRNA from 1 species